GAGAAUGACCAGCACUCUAUGGAGUUUGGGCCACUUACAAAUAUUUUUGUGUCUCAAUGAAAGUUUACAUAUAAUAAAGUUUGAUAUUCCUACUUUCAUAUAAAAAAAGAAUUUUUAAUUUAUUCCUCCCAGUUUCUGAGAAAAACAGUUUUAUGUAAAAGGUUAGGUUAGGUUUGGUAAGUAGGUUUUAUUAGGUAAAGUAAAGUAGGUAGUAGUUUCCACAUAUCACCAGGACGAUUUUAGUGCUGCCUAUAUGGUGCAAGUACAUAGUUAUUCCCAAUGAAUCACUAUUUGAAGAUGUACAAGAAUAAUAAAAAUAAGAUUACG